CACCCCCUCGUCAACCACUUCCCUUGCGGAAGAGGAAAGACGGAUCUGGCCGUCUCUGUGCUCCUCGAGCGAACAGGGUCGGCUGAAGAACAGAGGCUUGAGCAUGGUCCCGCUGAAAGGGCGCCAGCUUGGUAGGUAGCUCACGCUGCAUGCCGCUGUCACCCCCAGGGACCUGUGCUGUAAAGCCGGCAGGAAUCGGUGGCUCACGCCCAGAACUCUUAC
rnacentral:misc_RNA from 1 species